UCCUACGGGAGGCAGCAGUGAGGAAUAUUGGUCAAUGGGCGGGAGCCUGAACCAGCCAAGUCGCGUGAGGGAAGACGGUCCUAUGGAUUGUAAACCUCUUUUAUAAAGGAAUAAAGUGAGGCACGUGUGCCUUUUUGUAUGUACUUUUUGAAUAAGGAUCGGCUAACUCCGUGCCAGCAGCCGCGGUAAUACGGAGGAUCCGAGCGUUAUCCGGAUUUAUUGGGUUUAAAGGGAGCGUAGAUGGGUUGUUAAGUCAGUUGUGAAAGUUUGCGGCUCAACCGUAAAAUUGCAAUUGAUACUGGCGU
rnacentral:rRNA from 1 species